AUUGAACGCUGGCGGAAUGCUUUACACAUGCAAGUCGAACGGUAGAGGGGGGCAACCCCUUGAGAGUGGCGAACGGGUGAGUAAUAUAUCGGAACGUGCCCAGUCGUGGGGAUAACGUAGCGAAAGUUACGCUAAUACCGCAUACGAUCUACGGAUGAAAGCGGGGGACUCGCAAGAGCCUCGCGCGAUUGGAGCGGCCGAUAUCAGAUUAGGUAGUUGGUGAGGUAAAGGCUCACCAAGCCGACGAUCUGUAGCUGGUCUGAGAGGACGACCAGCCACACUGGGACUGAGACACGGCCCAGACUCCUACGGGAGGCAGCAGUGGGGAAUAUUGGACAAUGGGCGAAAGCCUGAUCCAGCCAUGCCGCGUGUGUGAAGAAGGUCUUCGGAUUGUAAAGCACUUUAAGUUGGGAGGAAGGGCAGUAAGUUAAUACCUUGCUGUUUUGACGUUACCAACUAGAAUAAGCACCGGCUAACUUCGUUGCCAGCAGCCGCGGU
rnacentral:rRNA from 1 species